rnacentral:lncRNA from 1 species
AGGACAUCAAUUGGUGGGAUUGCAUCCAAGCAUGGAUCAAGGUUAGUGUUUCUACUUUCUUUAGAAACAUGUUAGGAUUGAAUUGAGGCAAAUCUAAAUUAGGUCUUGGUGUUGAAAUAAAUUAACAUAUGGUAUCAGACCAUCUUAGAUUUGAUUAAUUCAUCCUUGAGUGAAUCUGUUUGUUACGUGAUGCUUGUGAAACAUUAGCAUUGAAUUUUUGAACUUAAAUUAUUAAAGUUACGACAACAAUGAAAAUGGGUAGUGUCUAAUGAUGCAAUACCAAUACGGUUAACUAUAGUUGUCGUAAAAAGUGUUUUGCAUGGUUAAACAUUGAUUGAUUUAUUAAAAAUCACGACGGUUCAUGUGUGGGUUAAUAUGCUUGUUUGAAUAAAACUGUUGAAUUGAAAUCUGGGUUUCACUGUUGUUGCCGUGAAGUAAAUUAG